UGAGCAAUCUGCCCUUCUCAUCGGAAUAAGCGUUGGAAACGACGUCUAAUGCCGAAUACGACCUCCUUUCGCAUGAUCGGAGGUGGAAGGCUCCGGCGGAGAAGGAUGAGCUCGCGGCCUAUCAGCUAGUUGGUGUGGGUAAUGGCCCACCAAGGCAUCGAUGGGUAGCCGGCCUGAGAGGGCACACGGCCACACUGGCACUGAAACACGGGCCAGAUCCGUACGGG
rnacentral:rRNA from 1 species